AGCAGCCGCGGUAAUUCCAGCUCCAAUAGCGUAUAUUAAAGUUGUUGUGGUUAAAAAGCUCGUAGUUGAACCUUGGGCCUGGCUGGCCGGUCCGCCUCACCGCGUGUACUGGUCCGGCCGGGCCUUUCCCUCUGUGGAACCCCAUGCCCUUCACUGGGUGUGGCGGGGAAACAGGACUUUUACUGUGAAAAAAUUAGAGUGCUCCAGGCAGGCCUAUGCUCGAAUACAUUAGCAUGGAAUAAUAGAAUAGGACGUGUGGUUCUAUUUUGUUGGUUUCUAGGACCGCCGUAAUGAUUAAUAGGGACAGUCGGGGGCAUCAGUAUUCAAUUGUCAGAGGUGAAAUUCUUGGAUUUAUUGAAGACUAACUACUGCGAAAGCAUUUGCCAAGGAUGUUUUCAUUAAUCAGGAACGAAAGUUAGGGGAUCGAAGACGAUCAGAUACCGUCGUAGUCUUAACCAUAAACUAUGCCGACUAGGGAUCGGACGGUGUUAUUUUUG
rnacentral:rRNA from 1 species